UGGAGACAUCUGGAUUUGUCCAGGACAAACUAACUGAAUGGGGAUUCAGUGAGUUCAUGCAGAGAUUUAAAGAUGAAGGCAUUGACAAGGAGACGUUUCUAAACCUUGGAGAUUCAAUCCGAAUUAAUUUACUGUUUCCUAAAAUUGGACCAAGAGUAAGGUUUAGAAAGAGACUGAAAGAUUACUUACAGAUGGAGACAUGUCAUUUUGUCCAGGAAAAAUGAACUGAAUGGCAUCUCAGUGAGCUGAUUCACAGAUUUGAA